rfam:Citrus sinensis cultivar Ridge Pineapple sweet orange scaffold01086_contig_3, whole genome shotgun sequence.
UUGUGAAGUUAGCACAACACUAAUGCACCGGAUCCCAUCAGAACUCCACAGUUAAGCGUGCUUGGGCGAGAGCGGUACUCAGAUGGGUGACCACUUGGGAAGUCCCCAUGUUGCACCCC